UUUUCCCUCUGUUUUUUUUUGUCCCUGUUCAUUUUUAGCGCCUUUUCGUUUUUAGCUAGUCUCCCACACUCUCUCUCUUUCUCUCAGACACCGAAAAUCUCCUCAGUGUCUCAUCUCUACCCCUACCCACAAACCCACAACCAUAGCCACCACCACCACCACCUCCCGACCCCCGACCACAGCCACCACUACCACUCAAAAAUCGAGCCUAGUUAGGUCCAAAAACAAAUGGGUCAGGUCUAGCCCGACCCAUUUCUCUUAUCAUUUCUAACCCUAACGGUUCAUCCCCUCUAAUCCUAUUUCGUUACGCACAACUCUUUUGCAUUCAUCGAUUCCUAUUUCUUUUUUCUGUUUAUUGUUAUCAAACCCUAAUUUCUUGUUUGGUACACUGCAGGACCGAAAGACUGGUCAAGGUUCAUCUUGGCACCGAUUGACGCUUCGCGAGAAAUUCAUCGCUUUGUCUAUCUCUCACUCGCGGCUAGGGAUUUAGAGGAAAUUCAAGAGCUGUUGAGGUUGGUCGAUGGCACUGUAAACCCUUCACUUUCUCAGAGAUUGCAAAGCCAGUGUCUCUGCAAACAGCAAGUUCUAAAUACCCAUCAAUGAUUCCAGUCUCUGCUAAAAAGGUUUAACGAAUUUGGAGAGUUUGAACUUGGAUUCCUGUGGGAUAGGUGAUGAAGGGCUUGCUAAUCUGACAGUGUCAAAUAAAAACUGCAUCAUCAAAAACCCUUAUCAAGAUCUCUCUAAUCUAGCAGGACCGAAAGACUGGUUAAAAGAGCAAAAGAGGAAGUCCUCAAGCGGCAUCCCAUUUCCCCCACCAACACAAGAGUAAAUUAACACGGUUGAAUUUGAAGGAACGAAAUUGAAAAGUCUUUGCCCCAUUUCGUGGUUUCAUUGCCAGAGAGAAUUACAUUUUGCGUAUCAAGGAAUUAUGAGUAGCUGAGUGCUGUCUUUUAUGCUAUAAGGUUUCUCAGAAUUGCCAAAGUCAAAUGGUUUCCUAAUUAUUGAAUCAAAUGGUGGGUUGAACCAACAACGCUUAUUGCUUGAUUUAAGAAUGCUGUCUACAAAGCAUUGAAGCGGGCAACUGAAAAGGAGAUUUCUCAAAGUGCUGAUGUCAUCUGUUGCACAUGUGUUGGUGCUGGAGAUCCUUGAUUGGCAAAUUUUAGGUUCUGCCAGAUUGCAAAAAGAAGAGGCACUAUAAGUUUGUGUGAUCGAAGCAAGUGAAGUUGGUGAAAGACUUAAGGUAUUUCUUGCAAAUCACUUUAUAGCAAUGGAUAAGAGUUGGAUGAAAAUUACCAAUAGAAGGUCACAAUAAUAUUUAGAUGGAGUUCAACAGUUUCUGAAUUUCGCAUCUAACCAUGCAUACCCGGAUGGAACAAUUUCAUGUCCAUGUAAAAAAUGCGUGCAUAUGAAUUCAUGGCCUAUAGAUGUUGUACAGGCUCACUUAGUGUCAAAAGGGAUUUGUAGGGGUUAUAACCCUUGGGUUUUUAAUGGGGAAAUAUCGUCUGCGAAGACUUCUACUGAAAUUCCUAGUAGUCAUGUCCAAGAAAACCCAAUAGAGUCCACUUGUUUAGGCCACGUUCGUGGGGUCCACACUAAGUCUAUAAAAAACAAAUCAAUACAGUCACCAAUCCAACGUGCUUCUUGAGGUCGCGUGGGAGUUGGGUUGAGUUGAGUUUGUAUUUUGUUUU